UCUUUGCCAAAUUUGUGGUCCCUAUCACUUUUCCAUGAGAUACCCUUUUUAUUCACAUGCAACUGCUCGUUGUUGCGGGAGAAACUAUAAGUAUCAUUAAACAAACUCCAGGCUAUUAGACCACAUGGUACAAUUGCAGCCCCAUUCGUAUCUUCAGGCUUACAAGUACUGGUUUCAUUCUCGCCACUAGGACUUCUCAGUUGCUCAUCGCUUCGGCUCUUCACAUACCUGCGAUGAUUCUGGUAAAAGUUGUCAAGCUGAUAAUACACAUAAAUAGGCUGCUUCAUGUGCUUAGUCACUUUUAAUGUCCUGUUGCAUGUUGUAUUAGCAGAACUUCGAAUAUAUCCAACCUUAUCGGUUCUAUUUUGUUCAGGAAUGCAUUCAGUGUCAUAGCGGUCAACAAUUUCAACAACAUCUCGGGAAGCAAACAAGGAAACAACUCCAAUAGGAAUGAAGAUAAUGCUAACAAGCAUAAAUGCAGAAAUCACCCAUCGUGGCGUGAGAAUUGGUUUACAAGCUGGAAGUUCUUGUUGGGUAAACUUUGAAUAUUUGGGUCGCUUUGAAUUUCCCCUAGGAGCAGCAGAAUGAGCUGAUCCAUUAGCUCCUGCGCUAGACGACGCCGCAUUAUUACUCAUCGGAUGGAGGAACCAAGUUCUCUUCUUUUCUUACUAUUUUGGAGAUAGAUGUGUUCAAAGAGAAAGAAGGCGGAGAUCACUAUGAGAAAGAAGAAGAAGAGAUUGAGAGAUUUGAAGACAGAAGGACAAGAAAUAUAUUUGUAGUAAGAGAGGGAGAUGAAAUUGUUGGCUUGACUUGGGAAAGAGCAGAGCGCAGGCAGCAGUCAGGCGAGCAAACGCCCUCUUAUGCAAGGACUCAACUUUCUUACUAUUUUGGAGAUAGAUGUGUU
rnacentral:misc_RNA from 1 species